UUAAGCGACUAAGCGUACACGGUGGAUGCCCUGGCAGUCAGAGGCGAUGAAGGACGUGCUAAUCUGCGAAAAGCGUCGGUAAGGUGAUAUGAACCGUUAUAGCCGGCGAUGUCCGAAUGGGGAAACCCAGUGCAAUUCGUUGCACUAUCGUUAACUGAAUACAUAGGUUAACGAGGCGAACCGGGGGAACUGAAACAUCUAAGUACCCCGAGGAAAAGAAAUCAACCGAGAUUCCCCCAGUAGCGGCGAGCGAACGGGGAGCAGCCCAGAGUCUGAAUCAGCUUGUGUGUUAGUGGAACGGUCUGGAAAGUCCGACGGUACAGGGUGAUAGUCCCGUACACCAAAAUGCACAGGUUGUGAACUCGAAGAGUAGGGCGGGACACGUGGUAUCCUGUCUGAAUAUGGGGGGGACCAUCCUCCAAGGCUAAAUACUCCUGACUGACCGAUAGUGAACCAGUACCGUGAGGGAAAGGCGAAAAGAACCCCGGCGAGGGGAGUGAAAAAGAACCUGAAACCGUGUACGUACAAGCAGUGGGAGCACCUUCAGGUGUGACUGCGUACCUUUUGUAUAAUGGGUCAGCGACUUAUAUUCUGUAGCAAGGUUAACCGUAUAGGGGAGCCGCAGGGAAACCGAGUCUUAACUGGGCGUUAAGUUGCAGGGUAUAGACCCGAAACCCGGUGAUCUAGCCAUGGGCAGGUUGAAGGUUGGGUAACACUAACUGGAGGACCGAACCGACUAAUGUUGAAAAAUUAGCGGAUGACUUGUGGCUGGGGGUGAAAGGCCAAUCAAACCGGGAGAUAGCUGGUUCUCCCCGAAAGCUAUUUAGGUAGCGCCUCGUGAACUCAUCUUCGGGGGUAGAGCACUGUUUCGGCUAGGGGGUCAUCCCGACUUACCAACCCGAUGCAAACUACGAAUACCGAAGAAUGUUAUCACGGGAGACACACGGCGGGUGCUAACGUCCGUCGUGAAGAGGGAAACAACCCAGACCGCCAGCUAAGGUCCCAAAGUCAUGGUUAAGUGGGAAACGAUGUGGGAAGGCACAGACAGCCAGGAUGUUGGCUUAGAAGCAGCCAUCAUUUAAAGAAAGCGUAAUAGCUCACUGGUCGAGUCGGCCUGCGCGGAAGAUGUAACGGGGCUAAACCAUGCACCGAAGCUGCGGCAGCGACACUAUGUGUUGUUGGGUAGGGGAGCGUUCUGUAAGCCUGCGAAGGUGUGCUGUGAGGCAUGCUGGAGGUAUCAGAAGUGCGAAUGCUGACAUAAGUAACGAUAAAGCGGGUGAAAAGCCCGCUCGCCGGAAGACCAAGGGUUCCUGUCCAACGUUAAUCGGGGCAGGGUGAGUCGACCCCUAAGGCGAGGCCGAAAGGCGUAGUCGAUGGGAAACAGGUUAAUAUUCCUGUACUUGGUGUUACUGCGAAGGGGGGACGGAGAAGGCUAUGUUAGCCGGGCGACGGUUGUCCCGGUUUAAGCAUGUAGGCUGGUUAUCCAGGCAAAUCCGGAUAAUCAAGGCUGAGGUGUGAUGACGAGGCACUACGGUGCUGAAGUAACAAAUGCCCUGCUUCCAGGAAAAGCCUCUAAGCAUCAGGUAACAUCAAAUCGUACCCCAAACCGACACAGGUGGUCAGGUAGAGAAUACCAAGGCGCUUGAGAGAACUCGGGUGAAGGAACUAGGCAAAAUGGUGCCGUAACUUCGGGAGAAGGCACGCUGGUGUGUAGGUGAAGUCCCUGCGGAUGGAGCUGAGACCAGUCGAAGAUACCAGCUGGCUGCAACUGUUUAUUAAAAACACAGCACUGUGCAAACACGAAAGUGGACGUAUACGGUGUGACGCCUGCCCGGUGCCGGAAGGUUAAUUGAUGGGGUUAUCCGUAAGGAGAAGCUCUUGAUCGAAGCCCCGGUAAACGGCGGCCGUAACUAUAACGGUCCUAAGGUAGCGAAAUUCCUUGUCGGGUAAGUUCCGACCUGCACGAAUGGCGUAAUGAUGGCCAGGCUGUCUCCACCCGAGACUCAGUGAAAUUGAACUCGCUGUGAAGAUGCAGUGUACCCGCGGCAAGACGGAAAGACCCCGUGAACCUUUACUAUAGCUUGACACUGAACAUUGAGCCUUGAUGUGUAGGAUAGGUGGGAGGCUUUGAAGCGUGGACGCCAGUCUGCGUGGAGCCAACCUUGAAAUACCACCCUUUAAUGUUUGAUGUUCUAACGUUGGCCCCUGACCGGGGUUGCGGACAGUGUCUGGUGGGUAGUUUGACUGGGGCGGUCUCCUCCCAAAGCGUAACGGAGGAGCACGAAGGUUAGCUAAUCCUGGUCGGACAUCAGGAGGUUAGUGCAAUGGCAUAAGCUAGCUUGACUGCGAGCGUGACGGCGCGAGCAGGUGCGAAAGCAGGUCAUAGUGAUCCGGUGGUUCUGAAUGGAAGGGCCAUCGCUCAACGGAUAAAAGGUACUCCGGGGAUAACAGGCUGAUACCGCCCAAGAGUUCAUAUCGACGGCGGUGUUUGGCACCUCGAUGUCGGCUCAUCACAUCCUGGGGCUGAAGUAGGUCCCAAGGGUAUGGCUGUUCGCCAUUUAAAGUGGUACGCGAGCUGGGUUUAGAACGUCGUGAGACAGUUCGGUCCCUAUCUGCCGUGGGCGCUGGAGAAUUGAGGGGGGCUGCUCCUAGUACGAGAGGACCGGAGUGGACGCAUCACUGGUGUUCGGGUUGUCAUGCCAAUGGCACUGCCCGGUAGCUAAAUGCGGAAGAGAUAAGUGCUGAAAGCAUCUAAGCACGAAACUUGCCCCGAGAUGAGUUCUCCCUGAGACUUUAAGUCUCCUGAAGGAACGUUAAAGACGAUGACGUUGAUAGGCCGGGUGUGUAAGCGCAGCGAUGCGUUGAGCUAACCGGUACUAAUGAACCGUGAGGCUUAACCUU
rnacentral:rRNA from 1 species